rnacentral:rRNA from 1 species
UACGUAGGUGGCGAGCGUUGUCCGGAUUUACUGGGCGUAAAGAGCGCGCAGGCGGUCGUUCAAGUCGCGUGUGAAGGCCCCCGGCUCAACUGGGGAGGGUCACGCGAUACUGAUCGACUCGAAGGCAGGAGAGGGUAGUGGAAUUCCCGGUGUAGUGGUGAAAUGCGUAGAUAUCGGGAGGAACACCAGUGGCGAAGGCGACUACCUGGCCUGUUCUUGACGCUGAGGCGCGAAAGCUAGGGGAGCAAACGGG